UCUGCGUAUUUUGUCAUGUUUAUUUUUUUCACAAUGUGGAUUAACUGACUUUUUCUCAUAUUUAUAUGAACAACUCGGAUUUUUUUGUAUUCAAUUGAAAAAGCAGACUUGCAAUUGGCGAGGUUUGAAUGUAUUUCACUUCGUCACAUGCCAGCUCGCAUAUCUGUCAAGUUAGAAUCGUAAACAAACACGGACAACCGCCCGUAAAGAUUGUGUGCAGAAUAAUCGUGAAAUUUUAUGUGAAAACUCGAGAAAAGGUAAGUGUUCUGUGCAUAUUUCAGUAAAUAAACUAUCUUUUAAUGCUUGAACACAUUAUUUCACAGGAAAAACAUCAUUUCAUCCCGAAAUUUGGCAACAUUCGUCCGAGUAUGGUUGAGCAGCUGUGUGUGUGUGUGUGUGUGUGUGUGUGUGUGUGUGUGUGUGUGUGUGUGUGUGUAUGCCGACGGAAUACGACGCCGUUUCUACAACAAUCACUAAAGCCGGCUGUGAUCGUGAUCGGCACAUUCUCAACUGGACCAACACACCGGUCGUUGUGUAUCUUCAAGCAAACCAACGUUGCCAUACACCACAAAAUAGCAUGGAAAGGAAA